UGGGUAACCUGCCUCAAAGAGGGGAAUAGCCUCCCGAAAGGGAGAUUAAUACCGCAUAAUAUGUUUUGAUCGCAUGAUCGAGACAUCAAAGGAAUUUCCUCGGAAAUUCCACUUUGAGAUGGACCCGCGGCGCAUUAGCUAGUUGGAGAGGUAACGGCCCACCAAGGCGACGAUGCGUAGCCGACUGAGAGAGUGAUCGGCCACAUGGACUGAGACACGGUCAGCUCCG
rnacentral:rRNA from 1 species